AAUGUUGUCUUUCACCUACACCAUGUAUUAAACUCUCCUUUCGGACCGGGAGGCCUGCAGAAAGCUGCAUCAGAUAGAAUACAUAGGAUAGAAGCCUUAAGAAAAGUUCAGCAAUAGCACGACUGAGCUGAUGCUGCUGAUUCCAAAGCUAACAGCAAGGCUACUGAUGAAUUCUUUGAGGGGAAAAAACGGCUAUAACAGCUUAAUGGUUACCCCGUAAGAAGAUUAACUCUUGAAAGUGUAUUAAGACAGCGAAGACUAUGAGAAAAGCAAAACAAAAGCAAGAUCAAAGUAAAUCCGAAGUAAGCAUACAACCAUCCCUUCCCUAAGGGCAGAAGAACCAACCUCACAAAGCUUACUGCAGUAUUCACAGAGCCUGCAGAGGACUCACCCACCAUCUUCUCUCAAUCUAGAAGGUCCCUGCUGAAGACAAAUGACCUGUUGGUGGCGUGGCAACUGCAGACUGCCAAGAGAGAUCUGCACCAGGUUUGGCUCCAGAGAGAUUUUCUUUGCAAACACAUUGCAAAGAAAUAUCAGGAUCAUACAACAGAAGACACCAGUUUUCCACUCAGACCUUACAACACCCCGGGAAAUACAGCAGGUGGGUACCCAGGAUCAGCCUGCUUUUCCAACAGCAUGUGAUGGAACUGCUGCUGAGUGGAGACACAGCUUCUCAAGAUGCACAAAGUUAAAGAUCCCUGGAGUUGAAGACUGAAAUUGGGUAAAAAGAUACUCCUAGGUAAGCUGAAAGUACUGAAAAGUACAGCCACUUUCAGGUGCUAAGCUGCUUUUAGCAAGGGGAGUCCAGGACCCGCUGGCAAGAGCUGCUCCAAAGGAUGAUCCACAUCCUUUUCCACAUAAUACUGUGUGACAGUCACAAAACCUGCUCUCUCAAACCUCAUUAAGAGAGGGCUUGGGGCCAUACUGUAAUUCCAAAGCAUUCAUCACCACCACUUCUCCAAGUGGCAAAGUACUGGAGAAGGGAGAAAGACAGGAAACAUCAUCUGAGCUGUACACUUCGCACUUUGAAGAAAGAGCAUCCAGAACUCUCUACUUUAAUUCU